UCCAACUAAACCCACCCACAUAAAACUUAAAAUAUAAAGACCUCCACUCUAACCAACUUCCCCUGAAAAGAAAUUCCCAGAAAAAAAAGUAUCUUUUAACCAGAGUACCUUUUGUAUCAUGGUUCGGCCAGAAAAAAUCUCUCCAUAGAGGUCCCCCGAAACUCUCUGAGCUUACCACAACCAGAAAAGGUCCCACUCAAUCCUGUAGAAAUAUUAUGAGAAGAGUUGUGGUAAGAAGUGAAAUGCAUACCGCAGAGAAAAAUAGCUGGUUGUCAGAAAAAUCUGCCUAAUCAGAAGCUCAAGUCUGGGCUGAGGACUCGGGGGAUAACCCCCAAGUCCACCCUUAAGGCCCACCAUUAAACCCCAUAAAUAAGGCCUAAAAAUAGCCCCCUCUGUUUCAAGAAGAAGCCCUCCCUAAAACAAUAAAAAAUAACCCCUAAGAAUCCCACCUGACCCACAGGAAAAACCCUCCCCCUGAAAGAAAAUGCUGAAACAAGUAAUUAUCGAAAUAUUCUUCUACAAAGAUAAAAAUAAAAAAAGUAAAAAAAUAAAAAAAUUAGUUCAGAAGGAACUCGGCAAAAAAGUUUUCGCCUGUUUAACAAAAACAUCACUUUUCGACUUUCAUGAAAAGCCAAACCUGCCCAGUGCUUUUAAAGUAAACGGCCGCGGUAACCUGACCGUGCAAAGGUAGCAUAGUCAAUUGCCUAAUAAUUAUAGGCUAGAAUGAACGGUUCGACGAAAAACUCUCUGUCUCCUGAGCCAUAAAUUAAAACUAAUCUCAGGGUGAAAAAGCCCUGAUCCAAUCGAAGGACAAAAAGACCCUAUCGAGCUUAAGCCCAAAGUAUAAUUUAAAAUAGACAAUUAUAAAUCGGCUUUUGUUGGGGCAACAACAGGGAAAUUAAAAACCCCUGUAAUUUUAAGCUAAAUAAAGAAUAAAACCAGUUCUACUGAAUAUAAAAAAGCUACCGUAGGGAUAACAGCGUAAUUCCUUAAUAGAGACCCUAUCGAAUAAGGAGAUUGCGACCUCGAUGUUGGACUAGGAGCCCUCUUUAACGCAGAAGUUAAAGAAAGUUGGUCUGUUCGACCAUAAAAAUCCUACAUGAUCUGAGUUCAAACCGGCGUAAGCAGGUUGGUUUCUAUCCUCGACCCUAUUACCUGCCCGGCCAGUACGAAAGGACAGCACGGACAUAAACAAAAUUUAACCCAAAAGACUCCAUAUAAAAUACAAGUUUAAAUAAAC
rnacentral:rRNA from 1 species